rnacentral:sRNA from 1 species
GCCGUGAGGUGUUGCCUUAAGUGGCGCAACGAGCGCAACCCCUGUCCUUAGUUGCCAGCGGGUAAUGCCGGGAACUCUAGGGAGACUGCCGGUGCCAAACCGGAGGAAGGUGGGGAUGACGUCAAGUCAUCAUGCCCCUUAUGUCCAGGGCUGCACGCAUGCUACAAUGCGCGGUACAGAGGGCUGCGAUCCCGUAAGGGGGAGCGAAUCCCAGAGAGCCGUGCUCAGUUCGGAUCGAGGUCUGCAACCCGACCUCGUGAAGUCGGAGUCGCUAGUAAUCGCAGAUCAGCAAUGCUGCGGUGAAUACGUUCCCGGGCCUUGUACACACCGCCCGUCACACCACGAAAGUGGGCAACACCCGAAGCCGGUGGCCCAACCCUUGUGGAGGGAGCCGUCGAAGGUGGGGCUCGCGAUUGGGGUGAAGUCGUAACAAGGUAGCCGUAGCGGAAGCUGCGGCUGGAUCACCUCCUUUCUAAGGAGCCAUUUGGCAACCCGUUCCGUUGUCUAUUUCUUGACGGAUACGGAGACUCCAGGUUGAUCAUCUGCUCGAGACACGCUGUUCAGCUUUGAGGGUGCGACCCUCGAGCAUCUUGAGAACUCGAUAGCGAGCGCGAGCAUCUAGAAGUCAAGUGAACAAGGGCUUACGGUGGAUGCCUUGGCGCCAGGAGCCGAAGAAGGACGCGUCAGGCUGCGAAAAGCCUCGGGGAGCCGCAAGCAGGCUUCGAUCCGAGGAUGC